GCCGACGUAGCUCAGUUGGUAGAGCAGCGCUUUCGUAAAGCGCGGGUCGGGGGUUCAAUUCCCUUCGUCGGCU
rnacentral:tRNA from 1 species